rnacentral:rRNA from 1 species
GUAGGUGGCAAGCGUUGUCCGGAAUUAUUGGGCGUAAAGCGCGCGCAGGCGGUUCUUUAAGUCUGAUGUGAAAGCCCACGGCUCAACCGUGGAGGGUCAUUGGAAACUGGAGAACUUGAGUACAGAAGAGGAAAGCAGAAUUCCACGUGUAGCGGUGAAAUGCGUAGAGAUGUGGAGGAACACCAGUGGCGAAGGCGGCUUUCUGGUCUGUAACUGACGCUGAGGCGCGAAAGCGUGGGGGAGCAAACAGGAUUAGAUACCCUGGUAGUCCACGCCGUAAACGAUGAGUGCUAAGUGUUAGGGGGUUUCCGCCCCUUAGUGCUGCAGCUAACGCAUUAAGCACUCCGCCUGGGAGUACGGCCGCAAGGCUG